rnacentral:rRNA from 1 species
AUUGAACGCUGGCGGCAUGCUUUACACAUGCAAGUCGAACGGUAACAGGGAGCUUGCUCCGCUUACGAGUGGCGAACGGGUGAGUAAUAUAUCGGAACGUACCCAAGUGCGGGGGAUAACGUAGUGAAAGUUACGCUAAUACCGCAUACGAUCUAAGGAUGAAAGCAGGGGACCUUCGGGCCUUGUGCUCCUGGAGCGGCCGAUAUCUGAUUAGCUAGUUGGUGAGGUAAAGGCUCACCAAGGCGACGAUCCGUAGCUGGUCUGAGAGGACGAUCAGCCACACUGGAACUGAGACACGGUCCAGACUCCUACGGGAGGCAGCAGUGGGGAAUUUUGGACAAUGGGCGCAAGCCUGAUCCAGCAAUGCCGCGUGAGUGAAGAAGGCCUUCGGGUUGUAAAGCUCUUUUGUCAGGGAAGAAACGGCUGUGGCUAAUAUCCACGGCUAAUGACGGUACCUGAAGAAUAAGCACCGGCUAACUACGUG